rnacentral:rRNA from 1 species
AUGAGUUAAGUAUAAACCCCUUAACAAGUAUCAAUUGGAGGGCAAGUCUGGUGCCAGCAGCCGCGGUAAUUCCAGCUCCAAUAGCGUAUAUUAAAGUUGUUGCAGUUAAAAAGCUCGUAGUUGGAUUUCUGUUAAUACUUGCAUGUGCUGUCAUCGAUACGCGUGUAAUAUUAGCAUCAUCCGCGUCACCUUCGGUGUGCGGAACUUUACUUUGAGAAAAUUAGAGUGCUUAAAGCAGGCUUUUGCCUUGAACACUCCAGCAUGGAAUAAUAUGAAGGAUUUUUAUCUUUCUUAUUGGUUCUAAGAUAAAAACAAUGGUUAAUAGGGACAGUUGGGGGCAUUUGUAUUUAACAGUCAGAGGUGAAAUUCUUAGAUUUGUUAAAGACAAACUAGUGCGAAAGCAUUUGCCAAGGAUGUUCUCAUUAAUCAAGAACGAAAGUUAGGGGAUCGAAGACGAUCAGAUACCGUCGUAGU